rnacentral:rRNA from 1 species
GAUGAACGCUAGCGGCAGGCUUAAUACAUGCAAGUCGUGGGGCAGCAUGAGUAGCAAUACUUGAUGGCGACCGGCAAACGGGUGCGGAACACGUACACAACCUUCCUACAAGUGGGGAAUAGCCCAGAGAAAUUUGGAUUAAUACCCCGUAACAUAACGAUGUGGCAUCACAUUGUUAUUAUAGCUUCGGCGCUUCUUGAUGGGUGUGCGGCUGAUUAGAUAGUUGGCGGGUAACGGCCCACCAAGUCUACGAUCAGUAGCUGAUGUGAGAGCAUGAUCAGCCACACGGGCACUGAGACACGGGCCCGACUCCUACGGGAGGCAGCAGUAAGGAAUAUUGGUCAAUGGACGCAAGUCUGAACCAGCCAUGCCGCGUGAAGGAUUAAGGUCCUCUGGAUUGUAAACCUCUUUAUCUGGGACGAAAAAGGCGAUUCUUCGUCACUUGACGGUACCAGAUGAAUAAGCACCGGCUAACUCCGUGCCAGCA